ACGAACGCUGGCGGCGUGCUUAACACAUGCAAGUCGAACGGAAAGGCCCUGCUUUUGUGGGGUGCUCGAGUGGCGAACGGGUGAGUAACACGUGAGUAACCUGCCCUUGACUUUGGGAUAACUUCAGGAAACUGGGGCUAAUACCGGAUAGGAGCUCCUGCUGCAUGGUGGGGGUUGGAAAGUUUCGGCGGUUGGGGAUGGACUCGCGGCUUAUCAGCUUGUUGGUGGGGUAGUGGCUUACCAAGGCUUUGACGGGUAGCCGGCCUGAGAGGGUGACCGGCCACAUUGGGACUGAGGUACGGCACAGACUCCUACGGGAGGCAGCAGUGGGGAAUAUUGCACAAUGGGCGGAAGCCUGAUGCAGCAACGCCGCGUGCGGGAUGACGGCCUUCGGGUUGUAAACCGCUUUCGCCUGUGACGAAGCGUGAGUGACGGUAAUGGGUAAAGAAGCACCGGCUAACUACGUG
rnacentral:rRNA from 1 species